rnacentral:snRNA from 1 species
AGCUUUGCGCAGUGGCAGUAUUGUAGCCAAUGAGGUUUAUCCGAGGCGCGAUUAUUGCUAAUUAAAAUAUUACUGAUAAUAUUUUUAGUUGCCCUGUUGAAUUUACCAUUAUAACAUUCACUAUAAUAUGUAAUACUUACUAUGUGGUAUAUGCAUGUAU